AGAAUAUUAUAGAAGUUGUUUAGGUGAAAAUUAUUAAUUAAAGUAAUUUUUAAGAUAUAUUUUUAGUAUAGUUUAUAGAAUUUAUUUAGUGAAUAAUAGAGUAGUAGUACUGUGAAGGAAAUAUGAAAUAGGUGAAAUAUUUAUUAGAAUAAAAGAAGAAUAUAAUUUGUACCUUGGGUAUCAGGGUUUAUUAAUUAAUAUUAAAGAUUUAUAAUUCUCGAAUUAAGACGAGUUAAAAUGGUAUUGUAGUUAAUGUAUUAUUAUUAUUAUAAAUAUCAUUUUGGUAAUGAAAUGUUAUGCGUUUUUUAAGUUAUCUAGUUAUUCAAGAAAUGAAUUUAAUUCAUGAUACUAGGAGUAAGUGUUUAAUUAGGUUAAUAAUUUAUUUUUGGUAUUAAAUGUAUAGGGGGAUAAGCUUUUAUAUAUAAACUAUAAAUUUGUGGGGUUAUAAAAGAGUGGUAGGCUUUUAAUUAGCCACCCUUGAAAUAAUGUUAUAAGUUGUCUUUGUAAUUAAGUUAUUUUUUAGAGGUUUUAGUUUGUUUAUUGAAUUGUUGUGUUAAAUAAGAUAACAUAAGUGAUGAUGAUAAAAUGAGUAUAUAGAAUUGUUUAUUUUUUAAUUUGUGAUAAUUUAUAAUAAGGAAUUAGGCAAAUUAUCACUCGCCUGUUUAUCAAAAACAUCUCCUUUUUGGUUUUAUAUAAGGUAGGGCCUGCCCACUGAGAUGAUUGAAGGGCCGCGGUAUUAUGACCGUGCAAAGGUAGCAUAAUCAUUAGUCUUUUAAUUGGAGGCUGGAAUGAAUGGUUUGACGAGGUGAUAACUGUCUUAUUAUAAUAGAUAAAAGUUAACUUUUGAGUUAAAAGGCUUAAAUUUUAGUGGAGGACGAGAAGACCCUAUAGAGCUUUAUAUAUAGAUUUAAAUUUAUGUUUUAGAGGUUUAAAAAGUUUAUAUUGGUUAUAUUGUGUUGGGGUGACAUAAAGAUAAAAUUAACUCUUUAUUUUAGGGACAUUGAUAUAUGGGUUUUUGAUCCAUUUUUAUUGAUCGUAAGAUUAAGUUACCUUAGGGAUAACAGCGUAAUUUUUCUUGAGAGUUCAUAUCAACGGAAAAGAUUGCGACCUCGAUGUUGGAUUAAGGAAUAUAAUUAGGUGUAGCAGUUUAAUUAAUAGGUCUGUUCGACCUUUAAAUCCUUACAUGAUCUGAGUUCAGACCGGUGUAAGCCAGGUCGGUUUCUAUCCUUAUUAUGUUUUUAUACUUUAGUACGAAAGGACCAAGUAUUGAAAAUAUUUUGUUAUGUUUGAUUAUUAUUA
rnacentral:rRNA from 1 species